UAGGGAAUCUUCCGCAAUGGGCGAAAGCCUGACGGAGCAACGCCGCUUGAGUGAUGAAGGUCUUCGGAUCGUAAAACUCUGUUAUUAGGGAAGAACAAAUGUGUAAGUAACUAUGCACGUCUUGACGGUACCUAAUCAGAAAGCCACGGCUAACUACGUGCCAGCAGCCGCGGUAAUACGUAGGUGGCAAGCGUUAUCCGGAAUUAUUGGGCGUAAAGCGCGCGUAGGCGGUUUUUUAAGUCUGAUGUGAAAGCCCACGGCUCAACCGUGGAGGGUCAUUGGAAACUGGAAAACUUGAGUGCAGAAGAGGAAAGUGGAAUUCCAUGUGUAGCGGUGAAAUGCGCAGAGAUAUGGAGGAACACCAGUGGCGAAGGCGACUUUCUGGUCUGUAACUGACGCUGAUGUGCGAAAGCGUGGGGAUCAAACAGG
rnacentral:rRNA from 1 species